UUAAGUUAUUAAGGGCGCACGGUGGAUGCCUUGGCACUAGAAGCCGAUGAAGGACGUUACUAACGACGAUAUGCUUUGGGGAGCUGUAAGUAAGCUUUGAUCCAGAGAUUUCCGAAUGGGGAAACCCAGCAUGAGUUAUGUCAUGUUAUCGAUAUGUGAAUACAUAGCAUAUCAGAAGGCACACCCGGAGAACUGAAACAUCUUAGUACCCGGAGGAAGAGAAAGAAAAUUCGAUUCCCUUAGUAGCGGCGAGCGAAACGGGAAAGCCCAAACCAACAAGCUUGCUUGUUGGGGUUGUAGGACACUCUAUACGGAGUUACAAAGGACGACAUUAGACGAAUCAUCUGGAAAGAUGAAUCAAAGAAGGUAAUAAUCCUGUAGUCGAAAAUGUUGUCUCUCUUGAGUGGAUCCUGAGUACGACGGAGCACGUGAAAUUCCGUCGGAAUCUGGGAGGACCAUCUCCUAAGGCUAAAUACUCUCUAGUGACCGAUAGUGAACCAGUACCGUGAGGGAAAGGUGAAAAGCACCCCGGAAGGGGAGUGAAAUAGAACCUGAAACCGUGUGCUUACAAGUAGUCAGAGCCCGUUAAUGGGUGAUGGCGUGCCUUUUGUAGAAUGAACCGGCGAGUUACGAUUUGAUGCAAGGUUAAGCAGUAAAUGUGGAGCCGUAGCGAAAGCGAGUCUGAAUAGGGCGUUUAGUAUUUGGUCGUAGACCCGAAACCAGGUGAUCUACCCUUGGUCAGGUUGAAGUUCAGGUAACACUGAAUGGAGGACCGAACCGACUUACGUUGAAAAGUGAGCGGAUGAACUGAGGGUAGCGGAGAAAUUCCAAUCGAACCUGGAGAUAGCUGGUUCUCUCCGAAAUAGCUUUAGGGCUAGCCUCAAGUGAUGAUUAUUGGAGGUAGAGCACUGUUUGGACGAGGGGCCCCUCUCGGGUUACCGAAUUCAGACAAACUCCGAAUGCCAAUUAAUUUAACUUGGGAGUCAGAACAUGGGUGAUAAGGUCCGUGUUCGAAAGGGAAACAGCCCAGACCACCAGCUAAGGUCCCAAAAUAUAUGUUAAGUGGAAAAGGAUGUGGCGUUGCCCAGACAACUAGGAUGUUGGCUUAGAAGCAGCCAUCAUUUAAAGAGUGCGUAAUAGCUCACUAGUCGAGUGACACUGCGCCGAAAAUGUACCGGGGCUAAACAUAUUACCGAAGCUGUGGAUUGUCCUUUGGACAAUGGUAGGAGAGCGUUCUAAGGGCGUUGAAGCAUGAUCGUAAGGACAUGUGGAGCGCUUAGAAGUGAGAAUGCCGGUGUGAGUAGCGAAAGACGGGUGAGAAUCCCGUCCACCGAUUGACUAAGGUUUCCAGAGGAAGGCUCGUCCGCUCUGGGUUAGUCGGGUCCUAAGCUGAGGCCGACAGGCGUAGGCGAUGGAUAACAGGUUGAUAUUCCUGUACCACCUAUAAUCGUUUUAAUCGAUGGGGGGACGCAGUAGGAUAGGCGAAGCGUGCGAUUGGAUUGCACGUCUAAGCAGUAAGGCUGAGUAUUAGGCAAAUCCGGUACUCGUUAAGGCUGAGCUGUGAUGGGGAGAAGACAUUGUGUCUUCGAGUCGUUGAUUUCACACUGCCGAGAAAAGCCUCUAGAUAGAAAAUAGGUGCCCGUACCGCAAACCGACACAGGUAGUCAAGAUGAGAAUUCUAAGGUGAGCGAGCGAACUCUCGUUAAGGAACUCGGCAAAAUGACCCCGUAACUUCGGGAGAAGGGGUGCUCUUUAGGGUUAACGCCCAGAAGAGCCGCAGUGAAUAGGCCCAAGCGACUGUUUAUCAAAAACACAGGUCUCUGCUAAACCGUAAGGUGAUGUAUAGGGGCUGACGCCUGCCCGGUGCUGGAAGGUUAAGAGGAGUGGUUAGCUUCUGCGAAGCUACGAAUCGAAGCCCCAGUAAACGGCGGCCGUAACUAUAACGGUCCUAAGGUAGCGAAAUUCCUUUGUCGGGUAAGUUCCGACCCGCACGAAAGGGCGUAACGAUUUGGGCACUGUCUCAACGAGAGACUCGGUGAAAUCAUAGUACCUGUGAAGAUGCAGGUUACCCGCGACAGGACGGAAAGACCCCGUGGAGCUUUACUGUAGCCUGAUAUUGAAAUUCGGCACAGCUUGUACAGGAUAGGUAGGAGCCUUUGAAACGUGAGCGCUAGCUUACGUGAGGCGCUGGUGGGAUACUACCCUAGCUGUGUUGGCUUUCUAACCCGCACCACUUAUCGUGGUGGGAGACAGUGUCAGGCGGGCAGUUUGACUGGGGCGGUCGCCUCCUAAAAGGUAACGGAGGCGCUCAAAGGUUCCCUCAGAAUGGUUGGAAAUCAUUCAUAGAGUGUAAAGGCAUAAGGGAGCUUGACUGCGAGACCUACAAGUCGAGCAGGGUCGAAAGACGGACUUAGUGAUCCGGUGGUUCCGCAUGGAAGGGCCAUCGCUCAACGGAUAAAAGCUACCCCGGGGAUAACAGGCUUAUCUCCCCCAAGAGUUCACAUCGACGGGGAGGUUUGGCACCUCGAUGUCGGCUCAUCGCAUCCUGGGGCUGUAGUCGGUCCCAAGGGUUGGGCUGUUCGCCCAUUAAAGCGGUACGCGAGCUGGGUUCAGAACGUCGUGAGACAGUUCGGUCCCUAUCCGUCGUGGGCGUAGGAAAUUUGAGAGGAGCUGUCCUUAGUACGAGAGGACCGGGAUGGACAUACCUCUGGUGUACCAGUUGUCGUGCCAACGGCAUAGCUGGGUAGCUAUGUGUGGACGGGAUAAGUGCUGAAAGCAUCUAAGCAUGAAGCCCCCCUCAAGAUGAGAUUUCCCAACUUCGGUUAUAAGAUCCCUCAAAGAUGAUGAGGUUAAUAGGUUCGAGGUGGAAGCAUGGUGACAUGUGGAGCUGACGAAUACUAAUCGAUCGAAGACUUAAUCAA
rnacentral:rRNA from 1 species